rnacentral:misc_RNA from 1 species
UGGACACAUCCUCUUAUACGAGGAGAAAAAAUGGAGAAAAAGGCAGGGUGAUUAAAAAAAAAGGUUGGAUGAUUUCAUUGAGAAGCCUCCUUAGUUUACUAAUAUAGGAAGAGCCCUUUUAAAUUAACACUUUGGCUCCUAUGAGAAGUGUGGACAUGCUGCACACAGAAGACCUACUCUCUGAUUGCAUUUGGAUAAGAACCUACUUUACGG